UACGAAGGGGGCUAGCGUUGCUCGGAAUUACUGGGCGUAAAGCGCACGUAGGCGGCUUUCUAAGUCGGGGGUGAAAUCCUGGAGCUCAACUCCAGAACUGCCUUCGAUACUGGAAAGCUCGAGUCCGGGAGAGGUGAGUGGAAUUCCCAGUGUAGCGGUGAAAUGCGUAGAUAUUGGGAGGAACACCAGUGGCGAAGGCGGCUCACUGGACUGGUACUGACGCUGAUGCGCGAAAGCGUGGGGAGCAAACAGG
rnacentral:rRNA from 1 species